GAAGUAAGAAACAGGGUGAGGAUAGUGGAAGAGAGGGGGAGCCUCAGGUGACCUUGUUAGAAACCAGCACAGAGGACUUUUGUAGACUGAUGAGUGGCUUACGUUUAAAGACUCUGGAUUCCACUGGCAAUUGUGGACGACCCCCUAAUCCACAAGCCCCAGAUCUCCCUCAGGAAGAAAACUUUGACCCUGUGGCACCUGCAUGUGAAUAAAUCCAGGACAGCCUAUUGGGUGAUGAGGGACACACAGCCAAGUCAUUCCCAGCACCCCAGCCAACCUGAAGCCAACCCACCAGACACAUGGAUGAGGCCAUCCUAGACCAUCCAGCCCUGGCAGAGCUGCUAGCUGACCAAAGAGAUCAGCUGAGAUGACACAGACCAGAAGA